rnacentral:rRNA from 1 species
UACGAAGGGGGCUAGCGUUGCUCGGAAUCACUGGGCGUAAAGGGUGCGUAGGCGGGUCUUUUUUAAGUCAGGGGUGAAAUCCUGGAGCUCAACUCCAGAACUGCCUUUGAUACUGAGGAUCUUGAGUUCGGGAGAGGUGAGUGGAACUGCGAGUGUAGAGGUGAAAUUCGUAGAUAUUCGCAAGAACACCAGUGGCGAAGGCGAGUCCCUGGACACUUCCUGACACUGAGGCACGAAAAGCUAGGGGAGCAAACAGG